UGUAUAAAGAGGUCAGAACACUAAAAUAGUGUUCAUCUUUUAUGGAUUGGUGACUUGUCAGGGUUUAUCCCUGCCUUUCCCCCAGAAGUGAAUCUGCUAGGUAGCCUAUGGGGUAUGCCGCCCCGCCAAAGUGUAACUUGGCGGGAUGAACAGGCAAGACAGGCAAAUACCAUGGGGCCCGGGACAUUGUGGAGUUUUAGGACUUUUGGGUAGGCUAAUAUGGUGACAGUAGAAAUCUGUCUGAGGGCCUAAAAUGCUAAAUAAACUUGUUAAUAGGCGCAUGAAUGAACAUUACAAACGCACAGGAAAGAAUAGCUAUUUUCAUCAGUCCUCAGGAAACAGUUUAGCGAGUUAGCAAAUGGCCUCAAGUGCAAAUGUUAAAUAAUAGGAAAAGACCAAUUAAGAGUAAAAAGUCGUCCAAAUGAGGGCGGAAAUUAUUUUUGUUUUGCUAUUAAUGUUUGCAGGAAUAAGUCUCGCUGUCCCUCUGCCGAAAAGGCUAUACAACGUUUGCCUCGUUUACCAGAACCGAUGUCAUUUUACCAAGAGAUAACGUGGAGUUGAGAAUGGAGCCACUGUUUGACCCAGACUUUCAUAAGGAACACAUCACCCUGUUUGAUGACUAUGGCAUAAAGCCCAUCCCACCUCGAUUUCCACCCUACCUCCUGCAUGAACAGGGCACCUACGACCCAAACCUGGAUGAGGAAUACUACUAAGCAUCUUCUUAAAUGAAAUAAUAAAUGUGAACUUGAAUUCAAAAUAAAGCAGAACUGUAUACUACUGGAGGAAAAAUGA